CAAUAGCGUAUAUUAAAGUUGUUGCAGUUAAAAAGCUCGUAGUUGGAUUUCUGGUAGGAGUGACCGUGCCAGACUUGAUUGUCUGUGUAUUGUGUUGUCUCCAGCCAUCCUUGUGGAGAACUUUUCUUGCAUUAAUUUGUAGGGAUUGGGACCCGCAUCGUUUACUGUGAAAAAAUUAGAGUGUUUAAAGCAGGCAAUCGCUUGAAUACAUUAGCAUGGAAUAAUAAGAUAGGACUUUGGUACUAUUUUGUUGGUUUGCAUACCAAAUUAAUGAUCAACAGGAACAGUUUGAGGAUAUUCGUAUGAACAUGUCAGAGGUGAAAUUCUUGGAUCUUGAUCAGACGAACUACUGCGAAAGCAUUUAUCAAGGAUGUUUUCAUUAA
rnacentral:rRNA from 1 species